rnacentral:lncRNA from 1 species
AACUGCCCAAGGCCUAUCCAUUUUGGGGUGAUGUGUCUCUGAGUAUUCAUAUUGUUAAUAUUUUGACUUGGCACAAAACGGCUUAUUUCAAGAACUCGAUUUCCUUCUUCAAAGAUUAUCAAACUAUUCACUAAGUUUCCAACCAGCUAGUUAAAAUUCUAGCACGCAAAUCAUAGAAUAAAAUUCUUAGAUGUGGCCAGGUGCAGUGGCUCAUGCCUUUAUUCCCAGAACUUUGGAAGGUUGAGAUUACAGGUAUGAGCCACCACACCCAGCGGCCCCUGAAUUUUUGACUGACUCCUUCUAAGCCUAUAUACAACCCCAUUU